rnacentral:rRNA from 1 species
CAAUAGCGUAUAUUAAAGUUGUUGCAGUUAAAAAGCUCGUAGUUGGAUUUCUGGUAGGAGUGACCGUGCCAGACUUGAUUGUCUGUGUAUUGUGUUGUCUCCAGCCAUCCUUGUGGAGAACUUUUCUUGCAUUAAUUUGUAGGGAUUGGGACCCGCAUCGUUUACUGUGAAAAAAUUAGAGUGUUUAAAGCAGGCAAUCGCUUGAAUACAUUAGCAUGGAAUAAUAAGAUAGGACUUUGGUACUAUUUUGUUGGUUUGCAUACCAAAUUAAUGAUCAACAGGAACAGUUUGAGGAUAUUCGUAUGAACAUGUCAGAGGUGAAAUUCUUGGAUUUUGAUCAGACGAACUACUGCGAAAGCAUUUAUCAAGGAUGUUUUCAUUGA